rnacentral:lncRNA from 1 species
UUUUGCAUACAGUAAGACAGUUAACAAAAAAAUAAACUUUACCUCAAGAGUGUAUUUCUUCAUUUAAAGAGCAAAUACCCGAGCUAACCUCAGAUCUACUAUCAUAACCGAUAUUGUCUGUCGAUCCAUAAAGAAGUAAAGCUUAAGGUCCCUGCGACGAAGAAAAAGUGCAAGAUAGAAAACAAGUUCUGUGUCUGAUUUAUGCGUAUGGCAAAAGCAACACCUCUUCAUUUAAAGAGCAACACCUCUGGAACAUAUUCGUUAAAACUCUUGGUAUCAAUUUUAAAUUUUGAAAGUUAUGAAAACAUAAACGUAACAUCAGAAAUUGUUCAUGCCUUGACUGUUUUAGCGAUAGUUCUUAAUCAAUUUCUUGAAAUCAAUGCCCAAGUGCUCUCUUUAUGUAUUAUGUAUGUAUCCAUGUGUGUGUAAUUACGAAUAUACGUAUGUAUGUAUGCACCGCCCUCGAUCAUUUGGCACCACCUAAUUAGUCAACAAAGAAUACAUCUUGAGUUAAUAUGACGAUGUAAAUUUUAAACCUAAAAGAAAUGAAAAUUUCAAAAAGGAAGCAUAUAGGGCAAAAAGAAGGACCCAAUAUGAGCAAUUCACUAAAACUUAAAAUGCUUUCCUUCUAAUUUCAACUCCUGUACAUCAAUAGGUUCCACCCGCUCCAACAUAAGCACCAUUUAUGCCUAUUUGAUCUCCCUGCAGCAGAGUGACAAAAAAAUUGCAAGAGUUUAUUCUUAUUAUACCCAGGUCGAUUCAAGCAAGGAGAGAGAAUCAAACGUAAAAAGAGUUUAUUCUUAUUUCGACUUUUGCCUCUCCAGAAGUUCAAUGAACCUUUCAAAGUCUUUCUUUCUCUUUUACUUUCCAGAAUGAAUUGCCUUUCUUUUCUUUUCGUUAUCAAACUAGCCGUGUUACCUUCAAAUAUGUAAGAGUUGUUGGAUUUCAAAAUCUCCAGUAAAAGUGUUUGGUUAGUGACAAACGCUACUAAAAUUAAGAAUUAGAAAGAACAAUUAAUCAAACAUACAAAUGCAAAAGGGUUAAAAAAUAAACUAAGGAAUGAUGUGCACCAAAUAUACAACUAACAAAUCACAUAUAUACUACAAUUGAACUAACAGAUAACACCUAAAAGGAUUUCGGGUGUCUUGUACCAUAAAGCAAAAAUCUAUAAAAAUACCCCGAGUUGACCAACAUUUGAAAAUGUUAUAUUUUGCAUACAGUAAGACAGUUAACAAAAAAAUAAACUUUACCUCAAGAGUGUAUUUCUUCAUUUAAAGAGCAAAUACCCGAGCUAACCUCAGAUCUACUAUCAUAACCGAUAUUGUCUGUCGAUCCAUAAAGAAGUAAAGCUUAAGGUCCCUGCGACGAAGAAAAAGUGCAAGAUAGAAAACAAGUUCUGUGUCUGAUUUAUGCGUAUGGCAAAAGCAACACCUCUUCAUUUAAAGAGCAACACCUCUGGAACAUAUUCGUUAAAACUCUUGGUAUCAAUUUUAAAUUUUGAAAGUUAUGAAAACAUAA